rnacentral:rRNA from 1 species
UCAGCAGUCCAGAAUAUUAGUCAAUGCUCGCAAGAGUGAACUAGCUAACUGAAAUCUUAAAUUUUAUUUUAAGAUAAGGUAAGAGAAAAUAAUGAUAUUAUCUUACUAUUAGUGUCGUCUAAAUUUGGUGCCAGAAGACUCGGUAAGACCUUAGACGCAAACGUUAAUCGUCAUAAUCAGGCGUAAAGGGUGUGUAGGCGGCUUUUAAAAUAAAAUAUAAUUAUAGCUAAUGAAUUAUAUUCCAAUAAAAGCUAGAAUCUAAAAGAGGGUAAGCUAAACAACAUAAUUAAUUGGGACUGACAACUUAUAAUAAUGUGGAGUACUAAAGGUUAAAGCUAUUUAUCUACUUAAGAUUGACGCUGAGAAACGAAGGGGAGAAUAAGAAACUUAGAUUAGAGACCUAAUUAUCUCUCUCAGUCAACGAUGAAUGGUAGUUAUUAAAAUAAAAUAAAAUUAUUAGUGACGAGGUUAACACGAUGACCAUUCCGCCUUGUUAGUAAGACUGCAAAGUUGAAAACAAAAAAAUUAGUCGGUC